GAUGAACGCUGGCGGCGUGCCUAAUACAUGCAAGUCGAGCGGAUGGAUUAAGAGCUUGCUCUUAUGAAGUUAGCGGCGGACGGGUGAGUAACACGUGGGUAACCUGCCCAUAAGACUGGGAUAACUCCGGGAAACCGGGGCUAAUACCGGAUAACAUUUUGAACCGCAUGGUUCGAAAUUGAAAGGCGGCUUCGGCUGUCACUUAUGGACGGACCCGCGUCGCAUUAGCUAGUUGGUGAGGUAACGGCUCACCAAGGCAACGAUGCGUAGCCGACCUGAGAGGGUAAUCGGCCACACUGGGACUGAGACACGGCCCAGACUCCUACGGGAGGCAGCAGUAGGGAAUCUUCCGCAAUGGACGAAAGUCUGACGGAGCAACGCCGCGUGAGUGAUGAAGGCUUUCGGGUCGUAAAACUCUGUUGUUAGGGAAGAACAAGUGCUAGUUGAAUAAGCUGGCACCUUGACGGUACCUAGCCAGAAAGCCACGGCUGACUACGUGCCAGCCGCCGCAGUAA
rnacentral:rRNA from 1 species